rnacentral:rRNA from 1 species
UACGAAGGGGGCUAGCGUUGCUCGGAAUCAUUGGGCGUAAAGCGCGCGUAGGCGGCCCUGUUAGUCCGCUGUAAAAGUCAAAGGCUCAACCUUUGAAUGCCGGUGGAUACUGCAGGGCUAGAGUCCGGAAGAGGCGAGUGGAAUUCCUGGUGUAGCGGUGGAAUGCGCAGAUAUCAGGAGGAACACCAACGGCGAAGGCAGCUCGCUGGGACGGUACUGACGCUAAGGCGCGAAAGCGUGGGGAGCGAACAGG